rnacentral:rRNA from 1 species
UACGUAGGGGGCGAGCGUUAUCCGGAUUCAUUGGGCGUAAAGCGCGCGUAGGCGGCCGCCUAAGCGGAACCUCUAACCCCGGGGCUCAACCUCGGGCCGGGUCCCGAACUGGCAGCCUCGAGUGCGGUAGGGGUAAGCGGAAUUCCCGGUGUAGCGGUGGAAUGCGCAGAUAUCGGGAAGAACACCGAUGGCGAAGGCAGCUUACUGGGCCGACACUGACGCUGAGGCGCGAAAGCUAGGGGAGCGAACAGG